GAAGAUAGGGCGUAGUGGUACGCACCCGGAUUUGAACCCCGGCCCGCUGUGGCGACCCCACGGUGAUAGUUCGACUCUAUUAUCUUCC
rnacentral:tRNA from 1 species